ACGAACGCUGGCGGCGUGCUUAACACAUGCAAGUCGAACGAAGAGCGAUGGAAGCUUGCUUCUAUCAAUCUUAGUGGCGAACGGGUGAGUAACGCGUAAUCAACCUGCCCUUCAGAGGGGGACAACAGUUGGAAACGACUGCUAAUACCGCAUACGAUCUAAUCUCGGCAUCGAGGAUAGAUGAAAGGUGGCCUCUACAUGUAAGCUAUCACUGAAGGAGGGGAUUGCGUCUGAUUAGCUAGUUGGAGGGGUAACGGCCCACCAAGGCGAUGAUCAGUAGCCGGUCUGAGAGGAUGAACGGCCACAUUUGGACUGAGACACGGCCCAGACUCCUACGGGAGGCAGCAGUGGGGAAUCUUCCGCAAUGGACGAAAGUCUGACGGAGCAACGCCGCGUGAGUGAUGACGGCCUUCGGGUUGUAAAGCUCUGUUAAUCGGGACGAAAGGCCUUCUUGCGAAUAGUGAGAAGGAUUGACGGUACCGGAAGAGAAAGCCACGGCUAACUACGUG
rnacentral:rRNA from 1 species